CACCGCGAGGUGGAAUCUGAAGGAAGCUGGAGGCAAAUGCUCGACCCAAGGUACACGAACCCAAUUUGAGGCUAGGAUAGUCGGAUGAGCCUGCAAGACAAGGCGAAGUCCAAAGCCGCCAAGGGCUAUCUUAGUAAACUUGGGUGGGUACAUGAGCAGAAAGAUGA
rnacentral:ncRNA from 1 species